rnacentral:rRNA from 1 species
UCUAUACUAUAGAGUUUGAUCCUGGCUCAGGACGAACGCUGGCGGCGUGCUUAACACAUGCAAGUCGAACGGUGAAGCCCUUCGGGGUGGAUCAGUGGCGAACGGGUGAGUAACACGUGGGCAAUCCGCCCUGCAUUCUGGGACAAGCCUUGGAAACGAGGUCUAAUACCGGAUACGACGCAUCUCCGCGUGGGGUGUGCGUGGAAAGCUCCGGCGAUGCAGGGUGAGCCCGCGGCCUAUCAGCUUGUUGGUGGGGUAAUGGCCUACCAAGGCGACGACGGGUAGCCGGCCUGAGAGGGCGACCGGCCACACUGGGACUGAGACACGGCCCAGACUCCUACGGGAGGCAGCAGUGGGGAAUAUUGCACAAUGGGCGAAGGCCUGAUGCAGCGACGCCGCGUGAGGGAUGACGGCCUUCGGGUUGUAAACCUCUUUCAGCAGGGAAGAAGCGCAAGUGACGGUACCUGCAGAAGAAGCACCGGCUAACUACGUGCCAGCAGCCGCGGUAAU